rnacentral:rRNA from 1 species
GACGAACGCUGGCGGCGUGCUUAACACAUGCAAGUCGAACGGAAAGGCCCUGCUUUUGUGGGGUGCUCGAGUGGCGAACGGGUGAGUAACACGUGAGUAACCUGCCCUUGACUUUGGGAUAACUUCAGGAAACUGGGGCUAAUACCGGAUAGGAGCUCCUGCUGCAUGGUGGGGGUUGGAAAGUUUCGGCGGUUGGGGAUGGACUCGCGGCUUAUCAGCUUGUUGGUGGGGUAGUGGCUUACCAAGGCUUUGACGGGUAGCCGGCCUGAGAGGGUGACCGGCCACAUUGGGACUGAGAUACGGCCCAGAGUGCUACGGGAGGCAGCAGUGGGGAGUAUGGCACAAUGGGCGGAAGCCGGAUGCAGCGACGCGGCGUGCGGGAUGACGGCCUUCGGGGUGUAAACCGCUUUCGCCUGUGACGAAGCGGGAGUGACGGUAAUGGGUAAAGAAGCACCGGCUAACUACGUG